rnacentral:lncRNA from 1 species
UUCUAACUUCUCCCUCAUCUGUGUUACAGUCAUACGUUGCCAUUCAAUAAACAUACCGUAAUUCUUCGGCAAUAAAUUCGCCGGCGGUCUGGAAUUGAUGGGGUAGCUCUGAUCAAACUGGACAUCAGGGCAACUUGGGGGAGGGCCAUAAGGGUGUCCGAGUUUGUACUUAACCACCACUUCGUAGUCGCCAGCCCUCCAAUUCUGACUAUCACGAAGGCGUUCGUUGUGAAAUCUUGCCCCGUUUGCUCUUAAUUCCGCAGUGAUACUUGCUAUUGCAUUUUCGAUGUUUUCAAGUCUUUCUUCAAUUCUCCGUGUGUUUGCCUGUUGUAUCAUAGCCAAUCGGCGAGUCUCGUGGCACUGGCAUGCCUGGUUUAGAUUAUGAGCGAGC